rnacentral:rRNA from 1 species
GAUGAACGCUGGCGGCGUGCCUAAUACAUGCAAGUCGAGCGAACGGACGAGAAGCUUGCUUCUCUGAUGUUAGCGGCGGACGGGUGAGUAACACGUGGAUAACCUACCUAUAAGACUGGGAUAAUUUCGGGAAACCGGAGCUAAUACCGGAUAAUAUUUUGAACCGCAUGGUUCAAAAGUGAAAGACGGUCUUGCUGUCACUUAUAGAUGGAUCCGCGCUGCAUUAGCUAGUUGGUAAGGUAACGGCUUACCAAGGCAACGAUGCAAAGCCGACCUGAGAGGGUGAUCGGCCACCCUGGAACUGAGACACGGACCAGACUCCUACGGGAGGCAGCAGUAGGGAAUCUUCCGCAAUGGGCGAAAGCGUGACGGAGCAACGCCGCGUGAGGGAUGAAGGUCUUCGGAUCGUAAAACUCUGUUAUUAGGUAAGAACAUAUGUGUAAGUAACUGUGCACAUCUUGACGGUACCUAAUCAGAAAGCCACGGCUAACUACGUG